ACAUUAACAAAGUUUAAGAAUAACAUAUUUUAAGAACCUUAAAUAACUAAUUAAAAACAAAUAAAUAUAUGUCAAAUCGGUUUCAAUUUAGAAGUAAUUCUGAACAUUGCAGAAUUAUAUUCAGAAACAGACUUAAAAUCUUGGAGCCUCAGAUGAGCUCAAUCAUAUCGUGCUUGUGGCAGAGUGACCAACUUCAGGUUGUCAGAUCUCUCCUUUAAGCCUUUCCACAAGAUGAGUGGAUCUUUGACUGUGAGAUAUUCAAUUUGCAAACCUUCAUCAAGGUGAUGGCGCAAGAAAAUCAAGGCCUUAACACAGUCUUGGGUGGAUGCUUUAUCUCUGUCUUUAAUGGCGUCUCCAAGACCCAUAGCAUCUAAGUGGAUUUCAGCAUCCAACACCCAUGUCAUAUANNNNN
rnacentral:lncRNA from 1 species